GACGAACGCUGGCGGCGUGCUUAACACAUGCAAGUCGAACGGAAAGGCCCUGCUUUUGUGGGGUGCUCGAGUGGCGAACGGGUGAGUAACACGUGAGUAACCUGCCCUUGACUUUGGGAUAACUUCAGGAAACUGGGGCUAAUACCGGAUAGGAGCUCCUGCUGCAUGGUGGGGGUUGGAAAGUUUCGGCGGUUGGGGAUGGACUCGCGGCUUAUCAGCUUGUUGGUGGGGUAGUGGCUUACCAAGGCUUUGACGGGUAGCCGGCCUGAGAGGGUGACCGGCCACAUUGGGACUGAGAUACGGCCCAGACUCCUACGGGAGGCAGCAGUGGGGAAUAUUGCACAAUGGGUGGAAGCCUGAUGCAGCAACGCCGCGUGCGGGAUGACGGCCUUCGGGUUGUAAACCGCUUUCGCCUGUGACGAAGCGUGAGUGGCGGUAAUGGGUAAAGAAGCACCGGCUAACUACGUG
rnacentral:rRNA from 1 species